UGGGGAAUAUUGGACAAUGGGCGAAAGCCUGAUCCAGCCAUGCCGCGUGCAGGAUGAAGGCCUUCGGGUUGUAAACUGCUUUUUGUACGGAACGAAAAGACUCUGGUUAAUACCUGGGGUCCAUGACGGUACCGUAAGAAUAAGCACCGGCUAACUACGUGCCAGCAGCCGCGGUAAUACGUAGGGUGCGAGCGUUAAUCGGAAUUACUGGGCGUAAAGCGUGCGCAGGCGGUUAUAUAAGACAGAUGUGAAAUCCCCGGGGCUCAACCUGGGAACUGCAUUUGUGACUGUAUAGCUAGAGUACGGUAGAGGGGGAUGGGAAUUCCGCGUGUAGCAGUGAAAUGCGUAGAUAUGCGGAGGAACACCGAUGGCGAAGGCGACUUGCUGGGCUUGUAGUGACGCUGAGACGCGAAAGCGUGGGGAGCAAACAGGAUUAGAUACCCGCGUAGUCCCUGAGCGGGCUGGCAAGGCGCAU
rnacentral:rRNA from 1 species